rnacentral:tRNA from 1 species
GGAGUCGUGAGGUUGGUGAGUUGAACCCUCACUUUUACGCCGCGACUCGA